rnacentral:rRNA from 1 species
AACGAACGCUGGCGGCAUGCCUAACACAUGCAAGUCGAACGAGACCUUCGGGUCUAGUGGCGCACGGGUGCGUAACGCGUGGGAACCUGCCCUUAGGUUCGGAAUAACUCCCCGAAAGGGGUGCUAAUACCGGAUAAUGUCUUCGGACCAAAGAUUUAUCGCCUUUGGAUGGGCCCGCGUUGGAUUAGCUAGUUGGUAGGGUAAAAGCCUACCAAGGCGACGAUCCAUAGCUGGUCUGAGAGGAUGAUCAGCUACACUGGGACUGAGACACGGCCCAGACUCCUACGGGAGGCAGCAGUGGGGAAUAUUGGACAAGGGGCGAAAGCCUGAUCCAGCAAUGCCGCGUGAGUGAUGAAGGCCUUAGGGUUGUAAAGCUCUUUUACCCGGGAUGAUAAUGACAGUACCGGGAGAAUAAGCUCCGGCUAACUCCGUG